AUGAGAGCAAACAGGCAGGAUCACAGCCCAGGAGUGAGAAAUAAGGUCUGAUGAGUCAGRUACUGGGAUUCUUUUCUGAAUAUUUAAAGACAACUAUGGUAAGGAAGAGAGAAGAAAUCUAAGAAAGACUGUGAACUCCCUGGAGCCAUACAGUAGUGACUAUGCUGAAAAGAGAAACCAAGCAACCAGUCAGAGAACUAGAAAUAAUUCCAAAUGCACUGCCAGAUUAUUUUAGUGCCAGGCACAAAGCUGAUUUGGGAAGUUGUGAAAAUUAAGAAGGUCUUAGUUCAAAUAAACCAUGGCUCUGGGCUUCUUGGUGUGAAUCAACAUGAGCUUGGGCUUUCAAGACAGGUAAAUAUGGGGGGAAAGAAGAACCAGUUGCAGUAGCAGGGGAAAGAGAGCUUUCGCUGAAAGAAACUCUGAAGCACCUCAGAUUCUUCUGGCAUUAGCUACCUGGGUGGUGAAGAGGUGGAUCCUGAACACAGAAAGAACUUUAGUCCUGCAAGAGAAUGAGUUUCUAAACUCCUGCUGGUUGGAAUUAGAGGCACAAAUCUAGGGUCAUGGAACUGACCAGCUCCUGUGGUCAUACAGGAUCAGACUCAUAGCUUUGGCCUUAUUAUCCAGAGUUCUCUCAGCAGCACUGGAUGGUUCUCAGGCUACGCUGUACAUUCCAGAAUCAAUGAGUAG
rnacentral:lncRNA from 1 species